AUUGAACGCUGGCGGCAGGCCUAACACAUGCAAGUCGAGCGGAUGAAGGGAGCUUGCUCCUGGAUUCAGCGGCGGACGGGUGAGUAAUGCCUAGGAAUCUGCCUGGUAGUGGGGGAUAACGUCCGGAAACGGGCGCUAAUACCGCAUACGUCCUGAGGGAGAAAGUGGGGGAGCUUCGGACCUCACGCUAUCAGAUGAGCCUAGGUCGGAUUAGCUAGUUGGUGGGGUAAAGGCCUACCAAGGCGACGAUCCGUAACUGGUCUGAGAGGAUGAUCAGUCACACUGGAACUGAGACACGGUCAAUACUCCUACGGGAGGCAGCAGUGUGGAAUAUUGGGCAAUGGGCGAAAGCCUUAUCCAGCCAUGCCGCGUGUGUGAAGAAGGUCUUCGGAUUGUAAAGCACUUUAAGUUGGGAGGAAGGGCAGUAAGUUAAUACCUUGCUGUUUUGACGUUACCAACAGAAUAAGCACCGGCUAACUUCGUG
rnacentral:rRNA from 1 species